GAAUAUCACAAGUUGUGAACAAGACAUUGUGGUGCCUUGGUCCUCGUUCUCUUAUCUCCAUGCCAGAUGGCCAUUAAGAAAGAUCAUAAAUUUUCAUCUUAUACCAUGAACGCAAGAAAAGUUUAUGUGCUUGCUAUCAUUGACGUGUCAUGAAGCUGGCCACACCUCGAAAGGCUGCCCGAAUCUAUUCAAUGAAUUGAAGGAAGAUGGAAAGCCAAGGCAUCGUCUGUGGGGAACGACUUCAGUUGCAGUUAUUCCUAAUACUUAAUUAGUUAAGAUAUUGCCGGCGUCAACUAUGUCGUAAAUUAUGACUUACCAACUUAUAUUGAAGAAUGAAGAGUAUGAUCAUCGUGUUGGUCGAACGAGCCGCGUGGGAAAUGUCGAUGACGAAGAGAGAGAUGGACCUAACGCUGGAGAGUGUGUUUGUUUACUAAGCCCAAGGCCGAUGUACCGUCAUUCAUGCAAGCGAUGGUCCCAGGCCUGAGUUACGACUUUAGCGCCCCUUCGACUCAAGGGGGUUUCGCUAGUCGAGAUAGGCGCUGAUUCGGCGAUAAACUGGAUUUGCUGCCUUGCCCACUGAAGUUGAAGCGAGUUGGCAUUAACUCAAUGUAAUUAACCAAAAUUCGUAUCCAAGAACACCUUGGAAUUUGCAAUGUCUGUUUGUAAAUUUGAUUACGUGGUUAUU